UUUAUUGAUAAAAGUUAAGUCUUUGACAAACAUAAAUUUGUAUUAUUGUGUAGUGUUCAUUAUUGUUUAACAGAAUGUGGUGAGGUUGAAGCACCAACAAAUGGUACAAUGAAUGUAAGUGGUCUUACAUUUGGAAAUAACGUAACAUUCCAAUGUGAGAAAGGCUUUAAAAUAAAUGGUACGGAGAUGAUUAAAUGUAUGUCAACCGGAAAUUUUUCCGCAAGCGUACCGACUUGCAGUGAAGACAACGACGAUAUUGAUAAUGAUAACAAGGUCAAAGUUUCAAGAAGCAACAAAGAAAGUGGGAGUCUCAUACGAUUAUUAAUGGCAAUUACUAUGACAACCAUGUUGUUGUCGAUUGUAACUUCCUGAAACAACACGUUAAAUCAUACGAAUAGUUAGAAGAUUUUCCAUAAUUUAAGAAUUAUUCAGGCAUAAAAAGGGCAGUAAUAAACUAAUAUUCUUUUUGUGUUAGGUCUUGACAAAACGUUGAUACCAUACUGAGAGACAACGACAACAUAUCAUAGUCGUAUGGAACGCCUUUUUGCCUAAUUAUACCGUAUAAGUACUUAUUUCUGCGGUCUUAAUAUUCUGCGAUUUUUGUUAAAAUAAGGGGAUUUAAAUUUCUGCGUAUCUUAUUUCUGCGGUGUCACCAUUCUCGCAUUGAUGAGUUUUAUUUCUGCGUUUUAACUAAGAUAUUUGUACAAAAUUAACCUAUAAAAACAGACAACAUUUCAAAAUUUGAUGAUGUUACAUUACUUCCACCACUGAUAAUGUGUUUCGUCGUGUUUCAUCAAUAUCUAUCAGUAUUUACAUGUACAAAACAAAUAAGAAAAUAAAAUGCACUGACAAAUUUUAA